UCUGAGAGCGUUGUUUCAUCUUCUUCCUUAAAAUCUGAAAAGCUACCGGUUACUUUUCAUCUACUUAAAGUCCUUAUUAAUCCAUCAAAUGAGAGCUUCUCCCAUGAAAGGCGGUGGAACUGCGACUAUAAAAAUAAUGGUCAAGGACGUACAGUAGUGUGUUCGAUCCACGAGAGGCUGAAACAUGGAGUCAUUCUAUUAUAAAACUGCAAAGUCUCUUACAUCAUAGAUUCCUCUCUCGGUGUUCCUCAACGGGUUUUGGUUUUGUUCCUUACUUUACUUUCUCUCUGGAAGUUGGUGUCUUAAUAGCGUUCUCACAGCCUUCUCGCUGUCAAUCGAAAGAUGUUCACUGUCUCUUGGAUUUUGGACAGUGAUGAGUUUUGUUCUAUUUCGGUGUAACUUCGAACCCGAGGCUGAUAAUUUCUAAAGGAGGUCGCUUUUGUUGAUCUAAAACUCAUUACCAUAGAAUCUCAAGAUUGCGACUUUACAUGGAUUUACGUGUUGUUAGGUGAUAGCCGUCAAUGGGCAGUUUCCAGGACCUUUGUUUAAUGCUACGACCAACUAUAAUGUUGUUGUUAGAGUCUAAAUUGAAUGAGCCUCUUCUUUUGACUUGGUGAGUCCAGGAGCUUUCUUUCUAUACCAACUGACCAGUUGUGACUAAAAUGCCUUGGCCACCUGGCAUCCAAAUGCGGCGUAACUUGUGGCAAGACGGUCUUCUUGGCACACACUUCCCUAUUCCUCUGAGAUGGAACUUUACUUACCAGUUUCAGGUGGAAGAUCAAAUUGGAAGCCUAACGGCGAAAUGGUACACUCAAUACCAUAAGGAGAAUACAUGAUUAUGGGAAAGAACUUGGGAUGCCGGAUGGAGUCUCAUCAUUGGAAAGGGUCCUUACAAGUACAACAACAGUAGUGUACCUGUUUGACUAAGAGUUUUUCUCACUUUGUCUCAUGAGAUGGAUCUCUUCUAAUGUGACUUUCCCUGUGGGGAAACCCUUCAGAGCUUGAAGCUCGCGUUGUUUACUUUCUCUACAAUUCUAGAUUUUAGUACAACUUUAUUGUAACAAUAAUUUUGUGUCCUCUAGAUUCAUAUAAAUUACUUUCUGCUAAUUUUCUUUUCUCUGUAGUUUGAACCAUAUAAGUUAAUAGUAAAUGCGUGCACUUGCAAGAA